CUUGACCAAGGCUUCCAGAGAGAGUUGCCUGCAGGACCUCAGCAUCUGUUGCCCUGUGCCACUUCAGAUUUCUGCUCUCCCCAUUCUGGUGCAGCAUUCCUUGACCACCCCAGCUACAAUUCAAGCCAGCCUCAAUCCAGCUUGUGUCACUACUUUGGAAGGGAAAUCAGUCUGCAUUGUGCUUUUACACAUAAUCUUCUUGUUAUGACACCUGAGGAGCAAGAAGUGGAGAAUUCUUAAGCAAGGAGGUGGUCUUUGUUCUGCAUUUGGAAGGAGCUAAGCUUACUGCAGGUGUAAUGAAGGCAAGUGGAUGUCGGAAAGCGGUACAAACUUGUGUAAAAGUACGGAAGGAAAAGUGACAACUUGGUGUGCCUGGAGUGAAAGGUUUCUUUUUUGGAGAGAUUUACACCUCGCUAUCUUCUCUGGCUGGCUCAACCUGAAGGAUCCCAAUUUUGAAAGAAAAAGCAUGUGAUCAGCAUGGGAGUUUCGACCUGCUCCGUUUCCGACCUGGGCCAGUUCACCCCUCCUUAGGCAACCUGGUGGUCCCCGCUCCCAGGAGGUCACCAUAUUGAUGCCAAACUUAGUGCGGACACCCGAUACGCAUAGCACACUACAGCC
rnacentral:lncRNA from 1 species